rnacentral:piRNA from 1 species
UGAUAAGUUAUAAUUAUCUAAGUACAAAC